rnacentral:lncRNA from 1 species
UUGUACUUUCUGAUGAAGUCCAGGGGAAGACUUCUCGUUAGGAAGUAAUUCCCAGAUUGAGAUGCAAAUGUUGAGAAGAGUCAACCAGACAGAAGAGGAGAUGAGUGUUCCGGCAGAGGAAGCUGUGUGAGGUGGCUGAAACUUGCAGUCUUCAGGUUGAGAAUUCCUGUCCCUCUGUGUCCAGCAGACAAGUGCUACCUGAAGGCCAUGACGAAUUGAGACAAAAUUCUAACACUGCUACGUUAUUGAGAGAAAGGAUGAGAA